CUACAGGCUAACUGCGUCACACAAGGAUUACCUGCGUCCCCUGACGCCAUUCCGUUGUUUACGGUAACGAUGGUAACCAGACCUUAGUGCCGGUUAUGGGUGCAGCAACGGCAGGAUGCAUUCCGGCGUGCAGUCAUCUCAUCAGCUCUCCAUCAGGCACCACUCCGCGUAAAGAUCUCUCGGCAUCACGUCGGUCCGGCUCGGGCCGUUGAUUUAAAUGUACAGUGGCCUGCACCACACUGCAUUGACGGUGAUGUUCGCCACCAUCGCACAUUCAGUUGCUAUAUGUGCAGACAGCCCUUUGUCAUUCUGAUAUUUUGGGUCUUUAUUUCAUGUGUUUGUAUAUUAGGUGCGACAGGCGGCCGGACUGUUCUGUUCCCACGGUAACCUCCAUCUUCUCUGCGUGUUGGAACUUGUGAAUAUCUGGAUGUCUUACCUCAAGUGUAAUCUGUGAAUAUCAGGAGGGUGUUGUAAGCUGGCACGUGUCAGACAUUUUUCCUGUUCUAUUCCUUCACCUCGAUCAACAAAGCGGACGGCUUCGUCUCCAGUCCUGAGUGAUGCACGUCUCAGCUGAUAAUGCGCAAGUCUUCCAAGUUGGUUCUCCAAGCUAGAUCUGUGUGCCCAAACAUAAUAUUCCUCAGCAUUUGUUCGUGUUUUGUGCAAAAAACGAUGGGUUGAUAUCUAUCCAUCAUCCAUCCCUCCAGCUAUGGGCGCAGGGAUUGUCACAUCUGCAGUCAUUACCAGCACCUGAAUUCUACGUUCGCAACACCUAGAGCCUGUACUUCAUGUAUGUAAACUGUCCUGAAACAGGCAUAUGGACAAUACAUAACAUUUACAACCUAUACACAAUACAGUCCAACAUAUUUGACACAAUUGUUUACAUGUAAAAGUAUUUGUGUAUCCCAAUUGUAGCUAAUACUGUCCAGUUCCAGGUCCCUAUUUUAGCUGUUGUUGAAUGCAUGUGCAUUAGUAAGAAGUUUAGUCACCUACGGGCUUCAAAUGAUCUGUUUUCUGAUCCAUGCUAUGGAGACCAGUAGUACUUGGAGGUGGCCCAUAGCUGUAGCAAUUAUGUGAGUGUUCUUUAAUACCAACACUGACUACACAAUCCAGAGCAUAAAAGCAUAUCGAUUCACUGGCUCGUAUGUCUGGCUGCUUGGGUUGAGACGUCUGCAUCCGAUUCAAUAGCCUCUAACUCUGUCUUAGUGUGCGACACUUAACAGACAAACAUUUUGGAGCCCACGCGUGACUCAGACUAUUAACUUUCACAAUGCUGACACACUGCCAUGCGAACGACAGACCCCUCACAAUCACGACGACCUCUUCAGAAGCUCAUUCAAAACCUUUCAACCAAGAGACAAUGUGGGGAAACCACAGCACUUUUUACACCAGCCGUUGUCACUGGGUCCAAGCACCCAGUGAGCAAGCCAGAGGCGACAGUCCUGAGGAAGAACUUCCAGAGUCCUAAAGAGCAAAACUCGCAGCUUGUUUAGCAGUGUAACUGAUGCAUAUAUCUCAUUAUAAACAAACUGAUUUUGCAGUAAAACGAUAGUGAUACUAAUAAUUAACGACAGUGAUACACAAAGGUGCAAUAAAUAUAAUUAUUAGUA